GAGGAAAGCUGGCGGCGUGCUUAACACAUGCCAGUCGAACGGAAAGGCCCUGCUUUUGUGGGGUGCUCGAGUGGCGAACGGGUGAGUAACACGUGAGUAACCUGCCCUUGACUUUGGGAUAACUUCAGGAAACUGGGGCUAAUACCGGAUAGGAGCUCCUGCUGCAUGGUGGGGGUUGGAAAGUUUCGGCGGUUGGGGAUGGACUCGCGGCUUAUCAGCUUGUUGGUGGGGUAGUGGCUUACCAAGGCUUUGACGGGUAGCCGGCCUGAGAGGGUGACCGGCCACAUUGGGACUGAGAUACGGCCCAGACUCCUACGGGAGGCAGCAGUGGGGAAUAUUGCACAAUGGGCGGAAGCCUGAUGCAGCAACGCCGCGUGCGGGAUGACGGCCUUCGGGUUGUAAACCGCUUUCGCCUGUGACGAAGCGUGAGUGACGGUAAUGGGUAAAGAAGCACCGGCUAACUACGUG
rnacentral:rRNA from 1 species